UACGAAGGGGGCUAGCGUUGCUCGGAUUUACUGGACGUAAAGCGCACGUAGGCGGAUCGAUCAGUCAGGGGUGAAAUCCCAGAGCUCAACUCUGGAACUGCCUUUGAUACUGUCGAUCUGGAGUAUGGAAGAGGUAAGUGGAAUUCCGAGUGUAGAGGUGAAAUUCGUAGAUAUUCGGAGGAACACCAGUGGCGAAGGCGGCUUACUGGUCCAUUACUGACGCUGAGGUGCGAAAGCGUGGAGAGCAAACAGG
rnacentral:rRNA from 1 species